AGCGAACGCUGGCGGCAGGCUUAACACAUGCAAGUCGAACGCCCCGCAAGGGGAGUGGCAGACGGGUGAGUAACACGUGGGAACGUACCCUUUGGUUCGGAAUAACUUGGGGAAACUAAGGCUAAUACCGGAUAAGCCCUUAUGGGGAAAGGUUUACUGCCGAAGGAUCGGCCCGCGUCUGAUUAGCUAGUUGGUGAGGUAAUGGCUCACCAAGGCGACGAUCAGUAGCUGGUCUGAGAGGAUGAUCAGCCACACUGGGACUGAGACACGGCCCAGACUCCCACGGGAGGCAGCAGUGGGAAUAUUGGACAAUGGGGGCAACCCUGAUCCAGCCAUGCCGCGUGAGUGAUGAAGGCCUUAGGGUUGUAAAGCUCUUUUACCCGGGACGAUAAUGACUGUGCCGGGAGAAUAAGCCCCGGCUAACUUCGUGCCAGCAGCCGCGGUAA
rnacentral:rRNA from 1 species